GCCACGCUUGCGGGCCGGAGCGCACGGCCGCGCCAGGAGCGCACGGCCGCGUCGCCGCGGAUCUGGGGAACUUGUCAGGCUCCGAAUCCGACAGCGGACUGGGGACCCCCCUCGUGCGCGGAGCCCCAUGCGUUUGUGCCGCCUCUGAAUGUCCCGCACGGCAGCAACAGAGACCAGCACCAAGCCAGCAGUGUGGCAAUACUCUGUAAGGACACUACGCAUCAACUUGAUGGCAAGUUGGCUACACUGGGCUUCCUCCGUCCUCAAGGAGCCAGCAGUUUAUUCGCACAGAAGGAAGCUGAACCCGGGCAUGAGUUUGCUCGUUCUCCCCAUAAACCCUCAGCCAAACGCCUCCGUCCAGGGCUCACGGGGCGCCCGACUCCACGCAGCACGGCUCCGUCCUGCAGACCCGCUUCCCUGCAGAUGAGGUGUGGGAGUGCGCCUGUCACCGUGGGACCCACUGGCCGUGUCACGCUGCGGCACUCCGAAGCUGGCCUCUGUCACUCAGGGCGCUGGGACAACCUGCGGUGUUCCCCCCGGACUCAGAAGCAAUGCUCUCCGAGACGGGGUGCAAACUCCCAUGGUGUAGCAUAGGCCCUGCUGGGUUAGAAGUCGUGGCCCCACCUGCCAGGUGAUGUGGCAUUAACCACGCUGAGCCAGAUGCUACACGGGCUGUGGCUGCUGCCUGGGCACUCUGGCCUCCUGGGGUCCAAACACCAACGGGAAAAGAGAAGAGACGCGACGCUGACGGGGUAACUGAGGCUACGGAGGGGACGCGGUGUGGCUGCUCUCCCGCGGUGACGAGGGUGGGAGUGUGUGCGGAGACAGACAACCUGCCUGGCUGCCUCUGAGUUCUGGUGCCCAGUGGCGGUCUUGAAAGAUCACAGGUAGCAACCCUAGCCGAGAAGGAUACGGUCACCAAGGCCUCAUGUCCCUGGAGAAGAAGGGUUUGGAUAAUACCACCAGGUAAGCCACCAAAACCCGGCAAAUUCAAGAAACUUUUCAGUUUUCCCAGAUUAACACCAGGAGGGGCAGGACCAUUCUGUGCAGAGACUCUAGAGGUGAGGGUGCCUUUGGGGAGAAUUAUAA